UACGAAGGGGGCUAGCGUUGCUCGGAAUCACUGGGCGUAAAGCGCACGUAGGCGGCUUUCUAAGUCAGGGGUGAAAUCCUGGAGCUCAACUCCAGAACUGCCUUUGAUACUGAGAAGCUCGAGUCCGGGAGAGGUGAGUGGAACUGCGAGUGUAGAGGUGAAAUUCGUAGAUAUUCGCAAGAACACCAGUGGCGAAGGCGGCUCACUGGCCCGGUACUGACGCUGAGGUGCGAAAGCGUGGGGAGCAAACAGG
rnacentral:rRNA from 1 species